rnacentral:tRNA from 2 species
GCAGUCGUGGCCGAGUGGUUAAGGCGUCUGACUAGAAAUCGGAUUCCCUCUGGGAGCGUAGGUUCGAGUCCUACCGACUGCG